rnacentral:rRNA from 1 species
AUGAAUAUCCUUAGUUGGAACUGCCGGGGAGGGGGGAAUCCCUGGACAGUUUGUGAGCUGGCGACUAUCUGUCAGUCGCAUUCCCCUAGUAUGGUGUUUUUGUGUGAAACAAGACAGAGAGCUGACAAAAUGAAGAAGGUGCGAGGGAGGAUUGGAUUGAAGGGUUAUGCAGGAGUUGAUAGUAAUGGUAUGAGUGGUGGUCUUGCGUUGUAUUGGCAUGAGAGUUACGAAGUGGAAAUUAUGGACAAAGAUGAACAUUUUAUUGAUGCACUAGUUCGUGUCCAGGAAGGGGCAACCCAAUGGAGGAUUACAUGUGUAUAUGGUGAACCACGAGUUGAGAACAGGCAUCUUAUGUGGGCUAAACUCGAGCAUCUAAAAGUUGUGAAUGAUCUACCGUGGCUUGUUGUGGGUGAUUUCAAUGAAGCCAUGUGGGGCUUUGAGCAUCUUUCAGUAACACCACAGGGAGAGACACAAAUGGUCGCCUUCCGUGAUACUUUGGAGAUCUGUGGUUUGGUUGACCUAGGCUUUCUAGGGGUUCCCUUUACAUAUGAUAAUAAGAGGGGUGGUGUCGGUGUCAAAACCGACGGAUCUCGGGUAGGGGGUCCCGAACUGUGCGUCUAG